GACGGACGCUGGCGGCGUGCCUAAUACAUGCAAGUCGAACGCAUUUUCUUUCACCGUAGCUUGCUACACCGAAAGAAAAUGAGUGGCGAACGGGUGAGUAACACGUGGGUAACCUGCCCAUCAGCGGGGGAUAACACUUGGAAACAGGUGCUAAUACCGCAUAAUUCCAUUUACCGCAUGGUAGAUGGGUGAAAGGCGCUUUUGCGUCACUGAUGGAUGGACCCGCGGUGCAUUAGCUAGUUGGUGGGGUAACGGCCUACCAAGGCUGCGAUGCAUAGCCGACCUGAGAGGGUGAUCGGCCACACUGGGACUGAGACACGGCCCAGACUCCUACGGGAGGCAGCAGUAGGGAAUCUUCGGCAAUGGACGCAAGUCUGACCGAGCAACGCCGCGUGAGUGAAGAAGGUUUUCGGAUCGUAAAACUCUGUUGUUAGAGAAGAACAAGGAUGAGAGUGGAAAGUUCAUCCCUUGACGGUAUCUAACCAGAAAGCCACGGCUAACUACGUG
rnacentral:rRNA from 1 species